CAAGGCAUGGCUAAAAACAGGAAAGCGUCUCCCUUACACCGAGAAGAUAUCCGUGCAAACCGGGUUGCCUUGA
rnacentral:tRNA from 1 species